rnacentral:rRNA from 1 species
AGAUUGAACGCUGGCGGCAUGCCUUACACAUGCAAGUCGAACGGCAGCACGGGAGCAAUCCUGGUGGCGAGUGGCGAACGGGUGAGUAAUAUAUCGGAACGUGCCCAGUCGUGGGGGAUAACGCAGCGAAAGCUGUGCUAAUACCGCAUACGAUCUAUGGAUGAAAGCGGGGGAUCGCAAGACCUCGCGCGAUUGGAGCGGCCGAUAUCAGAUUAGCUAGUUGGUGGGGUAAAAGCCUACCAAGGCGACGAUCUGUAGCUGGUCUGAGAGGACGACCAGCCACACUGGAACUGAGACACGGUCCAGACUCCUACGGGAGCAGCAGUGGGUAAUUUGGACAAGUGGGCGCAAGCCUGACUCCGAGCAAUCGACCGCGUGCGAGGAUGGAACGGCCGUUU